UUAGAAGCAAAUUUUUUUUCUUUUUUCCGACAAAAUGAUUUGGAGGGAAACCGAAAAGUUGAACUCACCGGGAAAGAGCACACAUAACAUUUAUUUCGUAAUCUACUUACUCCUUGGAAAAAAAAAAAAAAUAAAAAAAAAAAAAAUAAAGAGGAGUUUUUUUUUUUUGGUUCUCUUCUUCGUCUUCUUCACAGUAUCAAUCUCGCGCUGCUUAGUCUUCCAUCUCUUCUUCUUCGUUCGAUUCUCCUGGUUUGCUUCUUUCCUCUCCAGAUUUUUGUUCAUGUCCUCGUUUUCGUGUUCCGCUCGUGACUCAAUCUGAAACCCUUGUUUUGGAUUUGUGAUUUUGAGGGUUUUGUUUAGCAGGGGAAAAAGAGUGAUCGAUGGCUGGAAAAAGGAAACGAGCUAAUGUUCCUGAAAAAACUGAGCGACGAACGAGNNN
rnacentral:lncRNA from 1 species